GGCAGAUUUUGGCCUCAGCAAGGUGUGUCGGGGGAAGGGGAAUGUGAACCAACACCGCUUCUCCUCUGCGUGUGGGUCAAACUUCUACAUGGCUCCGGAAGUGUGGGAGGGUCACUACACAGCCAAGGCUGAUGUGUUCGCCCUCGGGAUCAUUUUCUGGGCUAUGGUGGAGAGGAUCACCUUCCGAGAUGGAGAUACUGAGAAGGAAUUGCUUGGUGUUGUAUCCCACUGUGCUCUGGAGGCCUCGGAGAUGGUGAGCGACUGAUUUCCUUUGGAAUGAGCAGACGGAUUACGAAAGAUGGAUGUAGAAGCCUUGCUGCCUUCCAGUUUCCCCAGACGGUUUUAUUUAAAUGGACAGUAACUUAAUUUAUUUGUACAGUAAUUUUAAGAGAACUACAAAUUAUUUCUAUAUAAGCUUUCCUUUUCUAGCAUGCGUUCUUUAAUGCAGCAAGUGGCAUAGGUGAAACCCUGGCUGUUUGGCUUACAAACCUUACCUGUUUGGCUACACGUGGCACUGGAGUUUCUGAAGUGGUUUCCUUUAAGAGAACCCUCAUUCAUCCUUCCGCUGCCACUCUGUGCCUGCCCUGUUGGAGGACCCCAAAGAAAUGGGCACAAAUGGUCUCAAGACUGUCGCCUCUACCCUGCUGCAUGUUGACUAGCUCUCAGCCCUGGCUUCGUGCUGAUAAUGCUGUGUUCCUUGUCCUUGGCACGGAAGACAGGCGUUGUCUUUGCAAGGUUUAAUUGGAGCUCUGUGUGUGAUCCCUCAUGUUGCUGGGCCGUGGAACUGAGAGAUGGCUGUGGGAUGAGCUGGCACAGCUCUCAGUGUCUGCUCUGAAAAGUUUGAACAGAAACAAAAAUGUAUUUUC
rnacentral:lncRNA from 1 species